rnacentral:rRNA from 1 species
GAUGAACGCUGGCGGCGUGCCUAAUACAUGCAAGUCGAGCGAACAGACGAGGAGCUUGCUCCUCUGACGUUAGCGGCGGACGGGUGAGUAACACGUGGAUAACCUACCUAUAAGACUGGGAUAACUUCGGGAAACCGGAGCUAAUACCGGAUAAUAUAUUGAACCGCAUGGUUCAAUAGUGAAAGACGGUUUUGCUGUCACUUAUAGAUGGAUCCGCGCCGCAUUAGCUAGUUGGUAAGGUAACGGCUUACCAAGGCAACGAUGCGUAGCCGACCUGAGAGGGUGGGCGGCCACCCUGGAAAUGAGAACCGGCACCGGACCCUUAGGGGGGGAGGAGGGGGGAACUCUCCGGAAGGGGGGGAAACCCGGAGGGGACACGCCGGGGGGGUGAGGAAUGGUGUAGGUUGGUAAAACUUGGUUUUUGGGGAAAAAAAAAUGGGUAAAGAAAUAUGGCCCUGUGGGAGGUACCCAAAUAAAAAAGCCCGGGCAAACUAGGGC